GGCCCAGACUCCUACGGGAGGCAGCAGUGGGGAAUAUUGCACAAUGGGGGAAACCCUGAUGCAGCAACGCCGCGUGGGUGAAGGAGGGUUUCGGCGCGUAAAGCCCUGUCAGCGGGGAAGAAGAAAGACGGUACCCGACCAAGAAGCCCCGGCUAACUACGUGCCAGCAGCCGCGGUAAUACGUAGGGGGCAAGCGUUAUCCGGAUUUACUGGGUGCAAAGGGAGCGUAGACGGCAGCGCAAGUCUGAAGUGAAAUGCCGGGGCUUAACCCCGGAGCUGCUUUGGAAACUGUGCAGCUAGAGUGCAGGAGAGGUAAGUGGAAUUCCUAGUGUAGCGGUGAAAUGCGUAGAUAUUAGGAGGAACACCAGUGGCGAAGGCGGCUUACUGGACUGUAACUGACGUUGAGGCUCGAAAGCGUGGGGAGCAAACAGGAUUAGAUACCCCGGUAUA
rnacentral:rRNA from 1 species